GUGCCAGCAGCCGCGGUAAUACGUAGGGUGCGAGCGUUGUCCGGAAUUACUGGGCGUAAAGAGCUCGUAGGUGGUUUGUCGCGUUGUUCGUGAAAUCUCACGGCUUAACUGUGAGCGUGCGGGCGAUACGGGCAGACUGGAGUACUGCAGGGGAGACUGGAAUUCCUGGUGUAGCGGUGGAAUGCGCAGAUAUCAGGAGGAACACCGGUGGCGAAGGCGGGUCUCUGGGCAGUAACUGACGCUGAGGAGCGAAAGCUUGGGGAGCGAACAGGAUUAGAUACCCUGGUAGUCCACGCCGUAAACGGUGGGUACUAGGUGUGGGUUUCCUUCCUUGGGAUCCGUGCCGUAGCUAACGCAUUAAGUACCCCGCCUGGGGAGUACGGCCGCAAGGCUAAAAACUCAAAGGAAUUGACGGGGGCCCGCACAAGCGGCGGAGCAUGUGGAUUAAUUCGAUGCAACGCGAAGAACCUUACCUGGGUUUACAUGCACAGGACGCCGGCAGAGAUGUCGGUUCCCUUGUGGCCUGUGUGCAGGUGGUGCAUGGCUGUCGUCAGCUCGUGUCGUGAGAUGUUGGGUUAAGUCCCGCAACGAGCGCAACCCUUAUCUCAUGUUGCCAGCGGGUAAUGCCGGGGACUCGUGAGAGACUGCCGGGGUCAACUCGGAGGAAGGUGGGGAUGACGUCAAGUCAUCAUGCCCCUUAUGUCCAGGGCUUCACACAUGCUACAAUGGCCGGUACAAAGGGCUGCGAUGCCGCGAGGUUAAGCGAAUCCUUUUAAAGCCGGUCUCAGUUCGGAUCGGGGUCUGCAACUCGACCCCGUGAAGUCGGAGUCGCUAGUAAUCGCAGAUCAGCAACGCUGCGGUGAAUACGUUCCCGGGCCUUGCACACACCGCCCGUC
rnacentral:rRNA from 1 species